AACGCACAUUGCGCUCCUUGGUAUUCCGGGGAGCAUGCCUGUUUGAGAAUCAGUAAAAUUCAUCAAUUGCAUUUUGCUCGGUGCAAACCUUGCUUCUGCAGUUGGAUAUGAGCCUUUUGCGCCUGGCGCAAUGGCUUGAAAUUCAAUGUCACGAAACCAAUGGCUUCUGGUCUGGUUCUUCGAGCGCAUGAAUGGUUGUAUUAAUUUACUCCUGUUCGCUCAUUUUGGAUCAUUCCUUGCUGUCGGACCUUUGUGCUCAACCAAUUUUCCAGGGACGAAAGUCCUUGAACACUUGGUCUCAAAUCAGGUAGGAAAACCCGCUGAACUUAA
rnacentral:misc_RNA from 1 species